ACUUGUUUCAUCUACAGAGUGUGUGAUCGUUAUAAAAUUUCAUCAAUGAUUUUUAAAAAAUCAAGUGAUCAAUUUAACGUAACAGCAAUAUUCCUACGUUUAAGCCUUGCCAAUGGAAUAAAAUUUGUUUCUGAAAAAUAAAAUCUUUCCUGGCGCUCGAACUUAAUUUAAUCAUCCGGUACGAAGUUUAUCAGAAGGGAAUAUGCACGUCGAGCUAUGCAAAACGAAUGCUAUACAUGACAGAAUAAAAUAAAAUAUGCAAAGCACGAGAGAUAAAAGAUAUUUAUUGAACAACUUGAGAGAGAAUAAAUAUUCUCCUCGAAUGUAGAUUUGCAUAGCAACAUCGGCCUGGAUGGAAGAAUGGAGCAAAGUGUAAAUCGACUGCCUCUUUUUUUUUUUCAACCAAACCAACGCGUUCAAGGUGUAGUUCAUAUCCGAGUCUUUAGUUAAUUUAAUAAAUCCUUGAGUACGAUAAAACGAAUUUUCGUCCGGCGAGGAAGCAACAAAAGGAUCAACGAUGUUUUAUUCCGACGAACAGGACAUUUUGGUCGAUGAGUCGACGCCUGGGGCCAGCAUUGUCCGAAAGGUCUCGAGACGGAACGGAAUUAAAAUCAGAUGCACCUUUGGCAAGGUCGUUAUGUCAUCGGGCAACUAUUAAACCACUAGUUUUCAAGGGGAGCCGGUCUCGCCAAAAUCGUCUCGACCAGCUUCGCUCAAAAAUAUUUUUCCUCCGUAAAAAGUGUCACGAAUGCAGACGAAAACUAUAAUAGCCUUCAUUGGAAUUUCCAAAAAAUGUCUCAUUAGUCCAAGUGAUUGCUGGAUUUAUCUGAUCCUCUUUCUUUUCCCCCCCAUGGAUGACGGACCAUGGAGAGAGCCCCAAUUUUUAUUCAGAUUCUUAUCACACUGUUCUUUUUAAAAAUUAUUCUUUCAAUAUACGAAUCUCUGGUUUAAAAAAUAUGUUUUGUAAGUCUGGGUCAUGAUUGACCCAGGUUCUGUUGUCCAAAGGUUAAAUACCGCUUGUCAGACCAAGUUUUUACUGAAAUUCCCCGACGCUAAUAUUUUUGUCUGUCUACCAAAAAAGAAAUCCUAGUUUUUCGAUUAAAAACGAAAGAUAUACUAUGCUGUGCUUGACAAUAAAAAUUCUGUUGGUUAAAGGGACAGGUUUUUUUUUUCCUCUGAUGCAGACACGCCGUCUGGCAAUCGUCUAGCAUUGCCGAUCAAGUAUCUCAGGUGUUUUUACGAUAUUUCAGCAUCGCUAUUUGCCCGCCUCCGUCGCCCGUACCUUCAGUUUGAUAGCUUUUCCAGAGAUUUUACCACCCUGACGGGCACAAAGUUUUACGAGGUCGUUGCUGGAUUUUAUAUCACGGCGCGAUGGUAGUUGGUCGAUGAGGAACGACUCGAUUCGCGCGUUGCUUUAUGAAAACAUAGCCCGUGAAAACGAGCCCUUUCCGACUUUCAACCUCCUCAAUUUUCCUUCAACGUUUACCUCAACUAUCCAUGAUUUGAGGAGACACUUUUCAGAAACGUUUCCCGAAGCAUUACAUCGUUACGAUCUCUUUAAAAGAUCGUUGAACACGAACAACGAUCGUUUUGAAGGAAAAUCAAGAUAAAAAAAUCCUUGUGUAAUCAUUAUCAAUAAACGCUGUUUCUAAAUUACUUUUAAUAUUAAUAUCGUCAAAAUUAUGGACGGUUCGCAAAAGAAUAUAAAAAUUGCAUAAUUGCAAAAUGCAUUUCCUAUUCAGGUGUAUUCAGGUCGAGAAGAGACAUAGAAAUAGGGUGAAAAAAAAAGAAGAAAAAUCCAAUUUACGAGAAAUGCAAAUCGGAAUAUAGCUUUAUAAUGGUUGUGUCCCUUGCGAAACGGCUUGGCUCCGGUUCUUAGCGCGUCCUUUCAUGAAUCUCGAACGGAAACGAAAGCGAGACACCGUCUCGUUACGGCCACUGUUAGAUCGAGAGUCGAUGCUGUCGUAUGUCUCUCCUGGGACAAUUUGCCGCCUCCUUUCUCGUUCCGUAAUUUUGAUAUUUAUCUUCAUUAGCGCGGCUGUGCGUCGAACGCGAGGAAACUGCUUUCGAAAUGCAUUCUAUUUUUCGUUUCUGAAUUUUUUUCUCAUUUUUAAUUGCUAACACUUUGAGGAAUAUCAAAUUUAUUUUCCUAUAGAGAAUAAACAAUAUUCAUUCUCCGUUACCUUUUCGCAACAUUUUAAAAUACCUUUCUGUAGCACAGAAAAGAAAAAUAAAUGAAUGACGCAAGGAAUAACGUCAAAGAAGGAACACAACUUGCAACGAUACAAGAUAGAUCGAAUCAGUAACAGGCUGCUUAACAUAUUCAUCAUUCCCACUUGAAAACAGCGUGUUAACCACCUGUGGCGACACAAAGAGCACCGUGUCGAGAAAAUCAUGCCGACAAGAGGUCUUGUACAGGGACGAGCAAACAACAGAGGAGAUCCACGCAUAGGUGAAAGUCGUUAUCUGUUACAUUAACGAGCAACCAGGCGUCAUGGGAUCACAGACAGUCCGAUGGGAAUCGUUUCGUAGCAUGGAAUUACCAUGGCGGAGCUGAUUCGGUCAUUAGAGACGACCAUUUGCCGCGAUUACGUUUCGAAAACGGAAGUCGUGACGAAACCGUGACUCGAAAGAGCAACGCGUCUUACCACUGACUUCUACU